rnacentral:rRNA from 1 species
UGGCGGACGGGUGAGUAACGCGUAAGAAUCUACCUAUAGGUUCGGGACAACAGUUGGAAACGACUGCUAAUACCGGAUGUGCCUUCGGGUGAAAGUUUAAAUGCCUGUAGAUGAGCUUGCGUCCGAUUAGCUAGAUGGAGUGGUAACGGCACACCAUGGCGACGAUCGGUAACUGGUCUGAGAGGAUGACCAGUCACACUGGAACUGAGACACGGUCCAGACUCCUACGGGAGGCAGCAGUGGGGAAUUUUCCGCAAUGGGCGAAAGCCUGACGGAGCAAUACCGCGUGAGGGACGAAGGUCUGUGGAUUGUAAACCUCUUUUGUUAGGGAAGAUAAUGACGGUACCUAACGAAUAAGCAUCGGCUAACUCCGUGCCAGCAGCCGCGGUAAGACGGAGGAUGCAAGCGUUAUCCGGAAUUAUUGGGCGUAAAGCGUACGUAGGCGGUUUUAUAAGUCUGUUGUCAAAGCCCGAGGCUUAACCUUGGAAAGGCAAUGGAAACUGUAAGACUAGAGAGAGAUAGGGGCAGGAGGAAUUCCAGGUGUAGCGGUGAAAUGCGUAGAUAUCUGGAAGAACACCAGUGGCGAAAGCGUCCUGCUGGAUCUCAACUGACGCUGAAGUACGAAAGCUAGGGGAGCGAAUGGGAUUAGAUACCCC